CCUACGGGAGGCUGCAGUGAGGAAUAUUGGUCAAUGGACGAGAGUCUGAACCAGCCAAGUAGCGUGAAGGAUGACUGCCCUAUGGGUUGUAAACUUCUUUUAUAAAGGAAUAAAACGAGGCACGUGUGCCUUUUUGCAUGUACUUUAUGAAUAAGGAUCGGCUAACUCCGUGCCAGCAGCCGCGGUAAUACGGAGGAUCCGAGCGUUAUCCGGAUUUAUUGGGUUUAAAGGGUGCGUAGGCGGAAUAUCAAGUCAGCGGUAAAAAUUCGGGGCUCAACCCCGUCGUGCCGUUGAAACUGGCGUUCUUGAGUGAGCGAGAAGUAUGCGGAAUGCGUGGUGUAGCGGUGAAAUGCGUAGAUAUCAGGAGGAACAUCGGUGGCGAAAGCGCUUUACUGGACCAUUAUUGACGCUGAGGAACGAAAGCCAGGGGAGCAAAUGGGAUUAGAUACCCUAGUAGUC
rnacentral:rRNA from 1 species